rnacentral:snRNA from 1 species
AAAUGUGAGGCUGUACCGGCCACAGCAUCUGUCACCUGCUGGUUGAUCUGUCCGGCUAGGCAGAUACCGGCCACCUUCCUCCCUCACCGUCCCACGUGCACCCUUCCUUAAGUGCAGAGUCAAGGAGGCUGAUGAUCCAAAAAUAAAGGAGGAUCAGUCUUCAGUCAUGAUAUAUGAGCAGCUGAGCUGGAACCCCUCAAGAAGCUUAAACCCGCCAUGCUCACUGGCAUCUGGCAUACAGCGCCAAGCUCU